rnacentral:sRNA from 1 species
CAACUACAACCGCACAGAACAAGUUUUAAGUAUCUUUUUGAUCACUUGGGAUGGCGAGUCUAAGUUUAA